CACGUAGGGCGCAAGCGUUGUCCGGAAUUAUUGGGCGUAAAGAGCUCGUAGGUGGUCUGUUGCGUCCGUUGUGAAAACUCGAGGCUCAACCUCGAGACGCCGAUGGAAACCAUGUGGCUAGAGUCCGGAAGAGGAGAGUGGAAUUCCUGGUGUAGCGGUGAAAUGCGCAGAUAUCAGGAAGAACACCCGUGGCUAAGGCGGCUCUCUAGUACGGUACUGACGCUGAGACGCGAAAGCGUGGGGAGCGAACAGG
rnacentral:rRNA from 1 species